rnacentral:rRNA from 1 species
AUUGAACGCUGGCGGCAGGCCUAACACAUGCAAGUCGAGCGGAUGAAGGGAGCUUGCUCCUGGAUUCAGCGGCGGACGGGUGAGUAAUGCCUAGGAAUCUGCCUGGUAGUGGGGGAUAACGUCCGGAAACGGGCGCUAAUACCGCAUACGUCCUGAGGGAGAAAGUGGGGGGUCUUCGGACCUCACGCUAUCAGAUGAGCCUAGGUCGGAUUAGCUAGUUGGUGGGGUAAAGGCCUACCAAGGCGACGAUCCGUAACUGGUCUGAGAGGAUGAUCAGUCACACUGGAACUGAGACACGGUCCAGACUCCUACGGGAGGCAGCAGUGGGGAAUAUUGGACAAUGGGCGAAAGCCUGAUCCAGCCAUGCCGCGUGUGCGAAGAAGGUCUUCGGAUUGUAAAGCACUUUAAGUUGGGAGGAAGGGCAGUAAGUUAAUACCUUGCUGUUUUGACGUUACCAACAGAAUAAGCACCGGCUAACUUCGUG